rnacentral:snRNA from 1 species
AUACUUACCUGGCAGGGGAGAUACCAUGAUCACGAAGGUGGUUUUCCCAGGGCGAGGCUUAUCCAUUGCACUCUGGAUGUGCUGACCCCUGCGAUUUCCCCAAAUGUGGGAAACUCGACUGCAUAAUUUGUGGUAGUGGGGGACUGCGUUCGCGCUUUCCUCUA